AUUGAACGCUGGCGGCAUGCUUUACACAUGCAAGUCGAACGGUAACAGGCCGCAAGGUGCUGACGAGUGGCGAACGGGUGAGUAAUGCAUCGGAACGUGCCCAGUCGUGGGGGAUAACGCAGCGAAAGCUGUGCUAAUACCGCAUACGAUCUGUGGAUGAAAGCGGGGGACCUUCGGGCCUCGCGCGAUUGGAGCGGCCGAUGGCAGAUGAGGUAGUUGGUGGGGUAAAGGCUCACCAAGCCGACGAUCUGUAGCUGGUCUGAGAGGACGACCAGCCACACUGGGACUGAGACACGGCACAGACUCCUACGGGAGGCAGCAGUGGGGAAUUUUGGACAAUGGGCGCAAGCCUGAUCCAGCAAUGCCGCGUGCAGGAAGAAGGCCUUCGGGUUGUAAACUGCUUUUGUACGGAGCGAAAAGGCUCCCUCUAAUACAGGGGGCUCAUGACGGUACCGUAAUAAUAAGCACCGGCUAACUACGUGCCAGCCGCCGCCGUAACAC
rnacentral:rRNA from 1 species